CAGCAGCCGCGGGAAAACGUAGGUGGCAAGCGUUGUCCGGAAUUAUUGGGCGUAAAGGGCUCGCAGGCGGUUUCUUAAGUCCGAUGUGAAAGCCCCCGGCUCAACCGGGGAGGGUCAUUGGAAACUGGGAAACUUGAGUGCAGAAGAGGAGAGUGGAAUUCCACGCGUAGCGGUGAAAUGCGUAGAGAUGUGGAGGAACACCAGUGGCGAAGGCGACUCUCUGGUCUGUAACUGACGCUGAGGAGCGAAAGCGUGGGGAGCGAACAGGAUUAGAUACCCGCGUAGUCCCUGUCUCUUAUAC
rnacentral:rRNA from 1 species